CAACUUUCAACAACGGAUCUCUUGGUUCUGGCAUCGAUGAAGAACGCAGCGAAAUGCGAUAAGUAGUGUGAAUUGCAGAAUUCAGUGAAUCAUCGAAUCUUUGAACGCACAUUGCGCCCUCUGGUAUUCCAAAGGGCAUGCCUGUUCGAGCGUCAUU
rnacentral:rRNA from 1 species